UCACUACUUGCGUAGGCAGUCUCAUUAGAGUCCCCAGCUUUACCUGAUGGCAACUAAUGAUAGGGGUUGCGCUCGUUACGGGACUUAACCCAACACCUCACGGCACGAGCUGACGACAGCCAUGCAGCACCUAGUUUCGCGCCCCGAAGGGAGGACCGAUUUCUCGGUCUGUCGCUAACUUUCAAGCCCAGGUAAGGUUCCUCGCGUAUCAUCGAAUUAAACCACAUGCUCCUCCGCUUGUGCGGGCCCCCGUCAAUUCCUUUGAGUUUCAAUCUUGCGAUCGUACUCCCCAGGUGGAUUACUUAAUGCUUUCGCUUAGACGCGUACAUUAUAUCGCACACAUCGAGUAAUCAUCGUUUAGGGCGUGGACUAC
rnacentral:misc_RNA from 1 species